AUGUAUCUAUUGUAAAGAGCAAGAUUAUUUUCCAAAUAAUAAGUUGGUUAAACCAGUUACAUU
rnacentral:tRNA from 1 species